rnacentral:tRNA from 1 species
AGAGGUUUAGGUUAUUCAGACCAAGGGCCUUCAAAGCCCUAAGAAGAUAUGCAAUAUCUAACCCCUG